rnacentral:rRNA from 1 species
AGAGUUUGAUUAUGGCUCAGGAUGAACGCUGGCGGCAUGCCUAAUACAUGCAAGUCGAACGGACUACACCAUGAACUUGAAGAGCUUGCUCGGAUUGGAAUUGGAUUCUGUAGUCAGUGGCGGACGGGUGAGUAACACGUGGGUUACCUGCCACACAGUAUGGAAUAACUAUUGGAAACGAUAGCUAAUACCGUAUAUGACCUUCGGGUUGAAAGGAGCGUUUGCUUCGCUGUGUGAUGGGCCUGCGGCGCAUUAGCUAGUUGGUACAGUAAAGGCGUACCAAGGCGACGAUGCGUAGCCGGAGUGAGAGCUCGAUCGGCCACAUUGGGACUGAGACACGGCCCAGACUCCUACGGGAGGCAGCAGUAGGGAAUUUUUCGCAAUGGAGGAAACUCUGACGGAGCAAUACCGCGUGAGGGAAGAAGAUUUUCGGAUUGUAAACCUCUGUUGUAAGGGAAGAACGACAUUAGGAAGGAAAAUCUAAUGAGUGACGGUACCUUACCAGAAAGGGACGGCUAACUACGUGCCAGCAGCCGCGGUAAU